GGUUAAGCGACUAAGCGUACACGGUGGAUGCCCUGGCAGUCAGAGGCGAUGAAGGACGUGCUAAUCUGCGAUAAGCGUCGGUAAGGUGAUAUGAACCGUUAUAACCGGCGAUUUCCGAAUGGGGAAACCCAGUGUGAUUCGUCACACUAUCAUUAACUGAAUCCAUAGGUUAAUGAGGCGAACCGGGGGAACUGAAACAUCUAAGUACCCCGAGGAAAAGAAAUCAACCGAGAUUCCCCCAGUAGCGGCGAGCGAACGGGGAGGAGCCCAGAGCCUGAAUCAGUGUGUGUGUUAGUGGAAGCGUCUGGAAAGGCGCGCGAUACAGGGUGACAGCCCCGUACACAAAAAUGCACAUGCUGUGAGCUCGAUGAGUAGGGCGGGACACGUGGUAUCCUGUCUGAAUAUGGGGGGACCAUCCUCCAAGGCUAAAUACUCCUGACUGACCGAUAGUGAACCAGUACCGUGAGGGAAAGGCGAAAAGAACCCCGGCGAGGGGAGUGAAAAAGAACCUGAAACCGUGUACGUACAAGCAGUGGGAGCCUCUUAAUGGGGUGACUGCGUACCUUUUGUAUAAUGGGUCAGCGACUUAUAUUCUGUAGCAAGGUUAACCGAAUAGGGGAGCCGAAGGGAAACCGAGUCUUAACUGGGCGUUAAGUUGCAGGGUAUAGACCCGAAACCCGGUGAUCUAGCCAUGGGCAGGUUGAAGGUUGGGUAACACUAACUGGAGGACCGAACCGACUAAUGUUGAAAAAUUAGCGGAUGACUUGUGGCUGGGGGUGAAAGGCCAAUCAAACCGGGAGAUAGCUGGUUCUCCCCGAAAGCUAUUUAGGUAGCGCCUCGUGAAUUCAUCUCCGGGGGUAGAGCACUGUUUCGGCAAGGGGGUCAUCCCGACUUACCAACCCGAUGCAAACUGCGAAUACCGGAGAAUGUUAUCACGGGAGACACACGGCGGGUGCUAACGUCCGUCGUGAAGAGGGAAACAACCCAGACCGCCAGCUAAGGUCCCAAAGUCAUGGUUAAGUGGGAAACGAUGUGGGAAGGCCCAGACAGCCAGGAUGUUGGCUUAGAAGCAGCCAUCAUUUAAAGAAAGCGUAAUAGCUCACUGGUCGAGUCGGCCUGCGCGGAAGAUGUAACGGGGCUAAACCAUGCACCGAAGCUGCGGCAGCGACACUAUGUGUUGUUGGGUAGGGGAGCGUUCUGUAAGCCUGUGAAGGUGUACUGUGAGGUAUGCUGGAGGUAUCAGAAGUGCGAAUGCUGACAUAAGUAACGAUAAAGCGGGUGAAAAGCCCGCUCGCCGGAAGACCAAGGGUUCCUGUCCAACGUUAAUCGGGGCAGGGUGAGUCGACCCCUAAGGCGAGGCCGAAAGGCGUAGUCGAUGGGAAACAGGUUAAUAUUCCUGUACUUGGUGUUACUGCGAAGGGGGGACGGAGAAGGCUAUGUUGGCCGGGCGACGGUUGUCCCGGUUUAAGCGUGUAGGCUGGUUUUCCAGGCAAAUCCGGAAAAUCAAGGCUGAGGCGUGAUGACGAGGCACUACGGUGCUGAAGCAACAAAUGCCCUGCUUCCAGGAAAAGCCUCUAAGCAUCAGGUAACAUCAAAUCGUACCCCAAACCGACACAGGUGGUCAGGUAGAGAAUACCAAGGCGCUUGAGAGAACUCGGGUGAAGGAACUAGGCAAAAUGGUGCCGUAACUUCGGGAGAAGGCACGCUGAUAUGUAGGUGAAGUCCCUCGCGGAUGGAGCUGAAAUCAGUCGAAGAUACCAGCUGGCUGCAACUGUUUAUUAAAAACACAGCACUGUGCAAACACGAAAGUGGACGUAUACGGUGUGACGCCUGCCCGGUGCCGGAAGGUUAAUUGAUGGGGUUAGCGGUAACGCGAAGCUCUUGAUCGAAGCCCCGGUAAACGGCGGCCGUAACUAUAACGGUCCUAAGGUAGCGAAAUUCCUUGUCGGGUAAGUUCCGACCUGCACGAAUGGCGUAAUGAUGGCCAGGCUGUCUCCACCCGAGACUCAGUGAAAUUGAACUCGCUGUGAAGAUGCAGUGUACCCGCGGCAAGACGGAAAGACCCCGUGAACCUUUACUAUAGCUUGACACUGAACAUUGAGCCUUGAUGUGUAGGAUAGGUGGGAGGCUUUGAAGUGUGGACGCCAGUCUGCAUGGAGCCGGCCUUGAAAUACCACCCUUUAAUGUUUGAUGUUCUAACGUUGGCCCCUGAUCGGGGUUGCGGACAGUGUCUGGUGGGUAGUUUGACUGGGGCGGUCUCCUCCUAAAGAGUAACGGAGGAGCACGAAGGUUGGCUAAUCCUGGUCGGACAUCAGGAGGUUAGUGCAAUGGCAUAAGCCAGCUUGACUGCGAGCGUGACGGCGCGAGCAGGUGCGAAAGCAGGUCAUAGUGAUCCGGUGGUUCUGAAUGGAAGGGCCAUCGCUCAACGGAUAAAAGGUACUCCGGGGAUAACAGGCUGAUACCGCCCAAGAGUUCAUAUCGACGGCGGUGUUUGGCACCUCGAUGUCGGCUCAUCACAUCCUGGGGCUGAAGUAGGUCCCAAGGGUAUGGCUGUUCGCCAUUUAAAGUGGUACGCGAGCUGGGUUUAGAACGUCGUGAGACAGUUCGGUCCCUAUCUGCCGUGGGCGCUGGAGAACUGAGGGGGGCUGCUCCUAGUACGAGAGGACCGGAGUGGACGCAUCACUGGUGUUCGGGUUGUCAUGCCAAUGGCACUGCCCGGUAGCUAAAUGCGGAAGAGAUAAGUGCUGAAAGCAUCUAAGCACGAAACUUGCCCCGAGAUGAGUUCUCCCUGACUCCUUGAGAGUCCUGAAGGAACGUUGAAGACGACGACGUUGAUAGGCCGGGUGUGUAAGCGCAGCGAUGCGUUGAGCUAACCGGUACUAAUGAACCGUGAGGCUUAACCUU
rnacentral:rRNA from 1 species